rnacentral:rRNA from 1 species
GAUCCUGGCUCAGGACGAACGCUGGCGGCGCGCCUAACACAUGCAAGUCGAACGAGCGAGAGAGAGCUUGCUUUCUUGAGCGAGUGGCGAACGGGUGAGUAACGCGUGAGGAACCUGCCUCAAAGAGGGGGACAACAGUUAGAAAUGACUGCUAAUACCGCAUAAGACCACGGAGUCGCAUGGCUCAGUGGGAAAAACUCCGGUGGUAUGAGAUGGACCCGCGUCUGAUUAGGUAG